GACGAACGCUGGCGGCGUGCUUAACACAUGCAAGUCGAACGGAAAGGCCCUGCUUUUGUGGGGUGCUCGAGUGGCGAACGGGUGAGUAACACGUGAGUAACCUGCCCUUGACUUUGGGAUAACUUCAGGAAACUGGGCUAAUACCGGAUAGGAGCUCCUGCUGCAUGGUGGGGGUUGGAAAGUUUCGGCGGUUGGGGAUGGACUCGCGGCUUAUCAGCUUGUUGGUGGGGUAGUGGCUUACCAAGGCUUUGACGGGUAGCCGGCCUGAGAGGGUGACCGGCCACAUUGGGACUGAGAUACGGCCCAGACUCCUACGGGAGGCAGCAGUGGGGAAUAUUGCACAAUGGGCGGAAGCCUGAUGCAGCAACGCCGCGUGCGGGAUGACGGCCUUUGGGUUGUAAACCGCUUUCGCCUGUGACGAAGCGUGAGUGACGGUAAUGGGUAAAGAAGCACCGGCUAACUACGUG
rnacentral:rRNA from 1 species